GAUGAACGCUGGCGGUAUGCUUAACACAUGCAAGUCGAACGGACUCUUCGGAUUUAUUGUCGUACGGGUGAUUAACCCUUCAUAAUCUUUCUUUUUUUUCGGGACAACCACUGUAACCUUUUUCUAAUACCACCUUGUCCGAUUCCUAAAAGAUCACUUGCAUGAAGAUGAUCCCUCUGAUGAUUAGCUAGUUGUAGCGGUAAACGCUCCCCAAGGCCGCGCUCAGUCGCUUGUCUGAGAGGAUGACCAGCCACACUGGGACUGAGACGCGGCCCAGACUAAUACGGGAGGAAGCAGGGGGGAAUUUUCCGAAAUGGGCGAAAGACUGACGAAGCAAUACCGAGUGAGGGAAGAAGGCUCUUGGGUUGUAAAACUGUUUUAUUAAGGAAGAACAAAAUGACGGUACCUAAGGAAUCAGCAUCGGCUAACUACGUG
rnacentral:rRNA from 1 species